ACCUCUAUAAAUGGAUUGUGCUGUGUCCAACUCAAUGACUGUGAAACCUUUGUGGGAUAGAGCUUAGUGGAUCGUUAUGUGGUAAUAGAAUAGCACGGUCAAUCAUGUGAGCAAACCUCCCACUUAACUUGGAACUUGUGCCUUGAGAGUUUACUUGUUGUGUGAACACUGACAAAUUUUGAAAUUUGAAUAUCCCAUCAGAUCAUAACAAAGGCAUAUCUCCAUGCGCUCAUAUCAUAUCUUAGCAUGUUGCCAUGCACACAUAUCUCAUCAGAAGCUUGUUUCCAUACACACAUAUCUCAUCAGAAGCAUGUUGUCGUGCACACAUAUCUCAUUAGAAGCAUGUUUCCAUACACACAUAUGCACACAUAUCUUAUCAGAAACAUGUUACCAUGCACACAUACCUUAUCAGAGGCAUGUUGCCAUGCACACAUAUCUUAUCACAAGCAUGUCUCAUAUGUAAUCUCAAGAAACAUCAACAUUUCUAUAUCAUACAUAUAGUCACAAGGGACAUCACUAUGUCAUACUAUCAUGCAUAUAAAUUCAAAAGACUUUAUUAUGUCAAUUGCGGGCCAUAUAUCAAUGUAGUAGAUAUCAGGAAACAACAAUAUCGUAUUUUCAAAAUAUUCUUAAAUUCAUUAAUAUGAAUUCAUAUGAAGCAAUUCAUAGUAAUUACUUGCACAUAACACUUGCACAUAACAUUUGUAUUUACACAUAACACUUGCUCAUAACACGUGCAUAUAACACUUGUACAUAACACGUGCACAUAACCCUUGUACAUAACACAUGCACAUAACACUUUUACAUAAUACGUGCACAUAUGUACAUAACAUUUGCAUAUACUUGCAUAUAACAUUUACAGUAUCUAGAAUUUAUGCUGCAAGUAUUACAAUUAAAUACAGAAAUACAUAGAACUUGCAGUUUUGGAAAUAUUACAAUUAAAUGUAGAAAUAUCUCUGGGAUUAUUAUAAAAAUAUCAAUUUUCUUCGAACAAUGAUUUUAUAGGAACAAUGAAGCCACUUACCCAUAAAACUUACGAUAUUUAAAAGGUUUUGGGUUUUCAGUUGACACCAACGAUAGCCCAAGAUUCCCACCAUGGAGGAAAAAGGUUUUGGGUUUUCAGUGGGAUGGUUUCAAAAUGCAUGCAGAGAGAAAGAGAAGGCUGAGGAGAUUAAAAUUGGAGAGAGAUUGAGAGGAGAUUAAAAUAGGAGAGAGAGAGCUUCUUUUUCUUUUUUUUUGUAACAAAUGGUACACCUCAGUGCAAGGUGUCUUAUAAACAAUAGAGUGGGGUGUAAAGCUGCCACAAGGUGCUACAAAACAAAAGCGUCAUGUAAAAACAUCAAAUAGAGAGUGGUGGACCUAAGGUCCACCGCAAUGAAAAUGAACCAUCAAAUGUUAAGAAAUAGUUUAUCAAUAAAUUAUGGUAUAUUAACAAUAAUAUCGCAUUAUUUAUAUUAACAAUAUAGAAUUAGUAAUAUAUUAACAGUACAUUAUAGAUUUAUUAUAAUUUAGGGUCAUCAUAAGACCUCCUUGAAUGAAUGUCAAAUCAUGGUGAUCCAAGCAAGCAGUACCUCACUCCAUGACCAGGCUUGAAAGUUCUCAAGCAACCAUGACGUUAACUCCACCAUCAUUACCUACCCUCCUCUUUAUUCUUGACCACAACCCCUUCGUCCCAUUUCCUAAAUCAGAAGACAUUCUGUUCCCCACGUAAAUUAGAGUUCGAGAUAGAAAUAUGAUUAACAUGUUAUAAGACAUUAUUCUGGAAUUUGCAUUACCAGGGUUUAAUUAACUUGUAAUCAAUCUGUUCAUGUAUGUCACAAUCCGUAUUGAGAUUGCUCAUUAGAAACAUUGAGUCUAUAGUAGCUUGAAGAAUAGUGAGGCUGUUUAGGGUCUUCCACUGCAUAGUUGCACCUCUCCCAAAAAGUUUGCUAGUUUGAAGAGCAGACCUUAAUUCAGGUACAAGUUUGGUAAAAUUGAACUCCAAACAUAAAUGAAUUUCACAAAUAAUGCACGAGAUAACUAAAUUUGAAGAACUACAAUCCCUACAAAAGGGCUUCUUAGACAAAAAAUGAGACACAAUGUCACAAUAUCUUGUCCAAUUCAAUUUGCAUGAAUGCUG
rnacentral:lncRNA from 1 species